AGGAUAAACGCUGGCGGCGUGCCUAACACAUGCAAGUCGAACGUCUCUUUCUUCGGGAAGAGGAGUGGCGGACGGGUGAGGAACACGUGGGAACCUGCCCUUCAGUGAGGAAUACCGGCGAGAAAUCGCCGACAAGACCGCAUAGCCCUCUCUGGUGAGAGCCAGAGAAGGAAAGCUUCGCAAGAGGCGCUGGAGGAGGGGCCUGCGUCCGAUUAGCUAGUUGGUGGGGUAAGAGCCUACCAAGGCGUCGAUCGGUAGCUGGUCUGAGAGGACGAUCAGCCACACUGGGAUUGAGAACGGCCCAGACUCCUACGGGGGGCAGCAGUGAGGAAUUUUCGGCAAUGGGGGAAACCCUGACCGAGCAACGCCGCGUGCAGGAAGACGGCCUCGGGUUGUAAACUGCUUUUCUUGGGUACGAGCAAGGACGGUACCAGAGGAAUCAGCCCGGCUCACUACGUGCCAGCAGCCGC
rnacentral:rRNA from 1 species